GAAAUCAUUAACUAAUUUCUCUACAUAAAAAUAAUAAAUACAAAUGGGGGAAACAUCACUUCUGAGUUACAAGGUUAAGGAGAAAGUGAAAAAGCCUAUUUGCUACCUACUUCACAGUCAAAUGGCACUAUCUUUCAUAUGUAAAGAGUUCCUACAGAUCAACAAGAAAAGGAACCAAGAACACAUAUAAAAAUGGGCAAAGGGCAUAUUCGAGUGGCUUCCCCCUGAAAUGGGAUGCAAACGGAUCUUCCACACACAGAUUCUCAAUCUCACUUGGGUUAGGAGAAAUUCAAUGUAAAACAGUUAAGAUUUGAUACCGUAUUUCCACUAAGAGAUUGGCAAUGACCAGAAAGUUUGCAGGACUGCGAGGAAACAGAUAUGAGACAUCAGUGCGGGUACCGCAAAUUUGCGCAACCUCUGUGGGGAGCGAACAGCAGUGUCCAUAAGUAAUUAAACACAAACACAUCCUUUUGCCCCACAAAGCCAACUUCAGACAUUUAUGCAACACACACACUUACACAGGUCCGCAAGAAUAUAGUUCCAAAGAUAUUCAUUGCAGCAUUUUCUUGACAGCACAAACUUGACCAAAGCUUCAGCUGGUUGGCUAAAUACAGUAAGACCCAGAUUUAUAACACAUCCUGUACUGUGUUAUGGUCUCUCAUUAGCCCUUAAAUAAAUUGUUUACCUUGACUUCCAAACCCGUCAUACCAUAAUUUCUUUAUAUAUAUAUAUAUAUGCAAGCUCCAAAAUGAUUAAACAAGGCAAUUUUUUUGGUGAAGGUAUUUAAUGAACCAACAAGCCACCUGAUUUAAACUCAAUUUUUCCAAAAGAUUAUUUAUUUUAUGUCUAUGGGAAACGAAACUGUCUACGAAGAUGUCCAUUCAGUCUCCGUAAAAAAAAGAAUAAGCCUAGUGGACGUAUUUCUUAAAUGUACAGAUUUAUUUAUGAAUGAGUCAUAAUUUCAUAUACGUUUACAAAAAAUACCCAUUCUUUCGCUAUUCUCUUCUUUCAUGAGACAUUUAUGCUGAUAAUACGAUUGCAAGGCUUACAAACACGUCAAUGUUAUUCACAGAGUUACAAAAAGGUUGAUGCAUUUUUUUCUCCUUAUUAUAAAGCAAGUCGGUGUGCAGAAUCUGACCUCAAAGGCAAUCCUUGAUGCUUCGUUGGGGAGGAAUGUGGCUGUUGUCCAAGAACGGUACCUCUUUUUAACCCAAAUGUUCCGAGCUAGUUAACAACAGGACCCAGUCGUACUGGAGAAGGCAGACCUCAGCCCAUGAGAAUUGACUGACCUCAUCAUUUGAUGGAUGAGUGACACAUCUGUUACACCCUCUAGAAUCCAGGAUGUCGUGUCCUCCACUGUAUGCACCUGGGCCCCAGAGGGAGGCCAAUAGGUGUUGGUUGCCCGAAACAAUGAAUGCAAAUGAUAAAUAACCAGGGGUCUCGAUCCUUUCUUCAGCCUGUUUCACACGCUCAAACACAGAAAAACAACAAAUACCGAAAGAGCCCGACAAUGGUCCUCAUUGAUAUCUUGAGACUCAAGCUCUGGGAGCUUUUAGACAAGGAGAGAAGCAAGGACCCGUGAACGGAUGUGGGUGUGGGGAGGGCUGGAGGCCUCGACAGAAGGGGGACACCGCCGAUGCCCACCUGCCAAACUACGGGCGGGGCUGAUGAGCUUCAAAGAGCAAAAGACCCAGAAUGGACGGCUGACGUCUCCAUCCCAGCCCUUUCCCCACAUCCGGAGAUCCGUGCUGGCAGCCCACACAGGUGGGUAAAUAACAGCCCACCUUUGAAGUGGGAGAGACUUGCGUGGAACCUGACUUUGCCCGCAAGCAGCAGCUCCUAACACCGCUACGAGUGACAAGAUUAAGUAUUCUCAUUCUGCGGGUAACUAUCCUAAGAGCUUUUGUUAGCGCCGCUGCAAGGCAGACUGAAGACAUCCUAAUUUUUCGGCGGAGGGAACUUUAUGGAUGAGGUCCACGCCGUCUACAAUAUCAGGGCUUCUCGACUUUCUGAGGUCAACACAAAAAUGCAAGCAAAGCCCUUUCCAAGCUUCUCUAUAAAAGCACGCAUUUUUGGAAGCACUGGAGCAUGUGCAUCGCCUGAGAUGGGGAAAGGCUUCUAAACAGGGAGGAGUCGUCGCUCAUGGCAAGGAGGAAGACUGCCUUCAGUUCCUUCCAAGCUGUCGGAAAGGAUCUAAGGAGAUUCUCUGCCGAAGAGCAGUUUUACCCUGCGGUUAAACUGAGCUCUCACAUCAAAGCAGUUAUACAUUUUGGAAAGACGAUAAAAAAAAAAAAAAACAGUUCACAAAUUCAUGGCAUUCACUCACGUGGAAGAACGAAAGGGGAGUAUCUGAUAAGGAGGAGCAUCUUCUGAGGGGGAGUAUCUGGUGUGUGGGGAGGCGGAGUAUCUGAUGCAGGGGAGAAUCUGAUACAGAGGAGUAUCUGCUGAGGAGGAGUAUCUGAUACAGAGGAUAUCUGAUACAGAGAAGUAGCUGAUGAGGAGGAGUAUCUGAUGUAGGGAGUAUCUGAUACAGAGAAGUAGCUGAUGAGGAGGAGUAUCUGAUACAGAGGAGUAUCUGCUGAGGGGGAGUAUCUGAUGCAGGGAGUAUCUGAUACAGAGAAGUAGCUGAUGAGGAGGAGUAUCUGAUACAGAGGAGUAUCUGCUGAGGGGGAGUAUCUGAUGUAGGGAGUAUCUGAUACAGAGAAGUAGCUGAUGAGGAGGAGUAUCUGAUGUAGGGAGUAUCUGAUACAGAGAAGUAGCUGAUGAGGAGGAGUAUCUGAUACAGAGGAGUAUCUGCUGAGGGGGAGUAUCUGAUGCAGGGAGUAUCUGAUACAGAGAGGAGUAGCUGAUGAGGAGGAGUAUCUGAUACAGAGGAGUAUCUGCUGAGGGGGAGUAUCUGAUGCAGGGAGUAUCUGAUACAGAGAAGUAGCUGAUGAGGAGGAGUAUCUGAUACAGAGGAGUAUCUGCUGAGGGGGAGUAUCUGAUGCAGGGAGUAUCUGAUACAGAGAAGUAGCUGAUGAGGAGGAGAUAUGAG
rnacentral:lncRNA from 1 species